CCCAAGAGCGCAGGGACUCAGCUCUGUGGGAUGGAGCAGGUGGAGUGGGUGGAAGCAAGUAGGGUGGAGUCUACUGUGGUCUCCAAAGAUGGAUGCCAAGAAAAUCUGCAGCAGGCUCUGUCUCCUGGCCAAUACCCAGGCCUCGGGCACUUGCUGACUGCCUUGAAUUUGGGCCAGAAGGAGAGGGAAAGGAAAAAAGAAGCAAGAAAAGAUGAAGUGCAUGUUCUCAAAGCCUCGGCCUCGCCCAUCCACACUGUCUAAUUAUCAGCUGGGCCUCCUGCUCACAAGAGAUGUGUGAGCCUCAAGUUGGCCAAGUUCUCUCACCUGCAGCUUCCCAAACACUUGGAAGGCCAGUAAUUGCCCAGUAAUUACCCCGUUUAUUGCCUCAUUACGGGUGACCACUUCUUGGCAGGCAUUUCCCUGGGAAGGUCUCCUCCCAGCUCAGGCUUCUCAGCGCCGGCAAGGGAGCAGGCAGGCCUGCUAGGUUCUGGUGUGCAGACUUGCUGAAUUGCACCCCCAUAGUCACCCUCACGCCACCGCAGCUUGCCCUGCUCCUGGCCCCGCACCAAGCCCUCUGCCUCCGCUUUCACUAAUGAUUACCUAGGUUGGGUAGGACGUACGAGGACCACUUCCUACCCUUUAACAGUAGCCCAUCUCCUGAUUCCUGACUCCAUCACAAUGGCCAUGGCUCCACCAGGAGUCUCCUUAGCAUCUGAUCCUAAACCUCUCCUGAUUCAAAGGCUUGGAUCAAAGGGCCCAUCUGGGGUCCUUUAGGUUCUAAACACCUUGACACCUCCUGGUUCUGACAGCUUCUCUAUCUUACCCUGGAUUCUGGAGCAGCCACUCUGAAUACAUCUCCUACUCCAGUCCCUGCUGUGAACAGUAGACCACUUGGGAAUAAGUGUGUAGCUUUGGAGCCAAGAAAGAUCACUAUAACAUGGACCCUUCAUACAGAUCCUGACCCAGACACAUGGCCGCUCCUACUAUUACACACACGUUCAGGCUGGGCCCCAGGAAAUCAGCAAGCAGCCCACGUAGCUGAGAACAGCCAGGCAACCCCUCCUGACCUGAGAUUACUGCUAAUGAUAAGAGCUGGAAGCACAGCUCCAUGCACGUGAGGAAGGACCGCUGGA